rnacentral:rRNA from 1 species
GACGAACGCUGGCGGCGUGCUUAACACAUGCAAGUCGAACGGAAAGGCCCUGCUUUUGUGGGGUGCUCGAGUGGCGAACGGGUGAGUAACACGUGAGUAACCUGCCCUUGACUUUGGGAUAACUUCAGGAAACUGGGGCUAAUACCGGAUAGGAGCUCCUGCUGCAUGGUGGGGGUUGGAAAGUUUCGGCGGUUGGGGAUGGACUCGCGGCUUAUCAGCUUGUUGGUGGGGUAGUGGCUUACCAAGGCUUUGACGGGUAGCCGGCCUGAGAGGGUGACCGGCCACAUGGGGACUAAGAUACGGCCCAGACUCCUACGGGAGGCAGCAGUGGGAAGUAUUGCACAAUGGGCGGAAGCCUGAUGCAGCAACGCCGCGUGCGGGAUGACGGCCUUCGGGUUGUAAACCGCUUUCGCCUGUGACGAAGCGUGAGUGACGGUAAUGAGUAAAGAAGCACCGGCUAACUACGUG